rnacentral:rRNA from 1 species
UACGGGGGGGGCAAGCGUUGUUCGGAAUUACUGGGCGUAAAGGGCUCGUAGGUGGCCAACUAAGUCAGACGUGAAAUCCCCAGGCUCAACCUGGGAACUGCGUCCGAUACUGGAUGGCUUGAAUUCGGGAGAGGGAUGCAGAAUUCCAGGUGUAGCGGUGAAAUGCGUAGAUAUCUGGAGGAAUACCGGUGGCGAAGGCGGCAUCCUGGACCGACAUUGACGCUGAUGAGCGAAAGCUAGGGGAGCAAACGGG